UGAUGGAGCAACGCCGCGUGGAGGAUGAAGGCCUUCGGGUCGUAAACUUCUUUUCUAUGCGAAGAAUAUGACGGUAACAUAGGAAUAAGGGUCUGCUAACUACGUGCCAGCAGCCGCGGUCAUACGUAGGACCCAAGCGUUAUCCGGAUUGACUGGGCGUAAAGAGUUGCGUAGGUGGUAGUUCAAGCGAUUAGUGAAAUCUUGUGGCUCAACCAUAAGGCUAUUAUUCGAACUGUUCUACUCGAGAAGAGGAGAGGUAUCUGGAAUUCUUAGUGUAGGGGUAAAAUCCGUAGAUACUAGGAGGAACACCAAUGGCGUAGGCAGGAUACUGGACUCUUUCUGACACUAAGGCACGAAAGCGUGGGGAGCGAGCCGGAUUAGAUACCCGGGUAGUCCACGCCGUAAACUAUGGAUGCUAGCUGUAUGCCGUAUCGACCCGGUAUGUAGCGAAGCUAACGCGUUAAGCAUCCCGCCUGGGGAGUACGGUCGCAAGACUA
rnacentral:rRNA from 1 species